GCCCUCGUGGCGGAAUUGGUAGACGCGCCAGACUCAAAAUCUGGUUCCCUUCGGGGAGUGCCCGUUCGACUCGGGCCGGGGGCA
rnacentral:tRNA from 1 species